rnacentral:rRNA from 1 species
UACGUAGGGGGCAAGCGUUGUCCGGAUUUAUUGGGCGUAAAGAGCGUGUAGGCGGCUAGGUAGGUCCGUUGUGAAAACUCGAGGCUCAACCUCGAGACGUCGAUGGAAACCAUCUAGCUAGAGUCCGGAAGAGGAGAGUGGAAUUCCUGGUGUAGCGGUGAAAUGCGCAGAUAUCAGGAAGAACACCCGUGGCGAGGGCGGCUCUCUGGUACGUGACUGACGCUGAGACGCGAAAGCGUGGGGAGCGAACAGG